GCGGGGAAGCGCACACCGGCGCGGGACCUUGGGGACGGCGGCACCGUCCCCACACCAGCUGGCUCUCCGCGAGGGGCCGGGCGAGUCGACUCGCCGCUGCAGCCGGAGCAGAGCAAGCUGCGAGGUUGGUGGCAAGAAGAUGCUGCAUCUGGUCCCAGGCCUCAGAGCUGAGCUGGACAAUAUCCAAAGAAGAAAGAGAAGUCUCUUCUAGAAGCUUUUUGAGAAGACUGAGAAUUUCCUAGGGAACCCAGCCUCUGAGGAUUGGCAGCAAAAAUGAUCCAAGAAAGCACACCUUAAAGUGGGAUUUUUAGACAUUGAUAUCCCACCCCUGGGACUAUAUGACAAGGAAGACACCAGUGCUAUUGUUUAAAAAACUGAAGUAGGAUACACUGAAACAGAAUGUUUUCUCUACUACAGAAAGGAAUCUGGAUUUUUGGCUUGAGCAGUUAAGUGGAUGGUGGUGCUGUUUACUAAGAAUGCAAGUUCAUCUCAAAGAUUUAAGAAGUAGAUCGAAUGUUGUAUUGUUCCUGUAUCUUCUACUUAGACUUCAUGAGCCAGAAUAAUUCAUCCAAGGAAAGAACUCCAAUAGAAGGUCUUUCAGGCACAGAUACAGACUCCAGAGAGAGCUUUGGGGUAAGAAGGCCUUACAGCAGAACAGUUCAAAUCGUUGGACCUUGAAGGCAAACAGAGUCCUUGAUGAGAGACAACAAGCCAUUCUGAGUGGCAGAAAUUCACACGGCGCCUCUCACCCAAAGAUGAAUCUUUAACCAGCUGUGGGAAGCUUGCUUAUCACAAAGCUAACAAACCUUAACAGGGAUGGGCAGACAAGCAGGUUGAUAGCAAUGGAAACCAGUACCCAAGGCACCGUUCGAAGAAGAAAGCCAGAACUGUGAUGCCUGGACAUUAACACCCAAUAGAAUAUUCAUUUUAAAAAAGGAA